rnacentral:rRNA from 1 species
CUGGCUCAGGAUGAACGCCGGCGGCGUGCCUAAUACAUGCAAGUCGAACGAGUUCUCGUUGAUGAUUGGUGCUUGCACCGAGAUUCAACAUGGAACGAGUGGCGGACGGGUGAGUAACACGUGGGUAACCUGCCCUUAAGUGGGGGAUAACAUUUGGAAACAGAUGCUAAUACCGCAUAGAUCCAAGAACCGCAUGGUUCUUGGCUGAAAGAUGGCGUAAGCUAUCGCUUUUGGAUGGACCCGCGGCGUAUUAGCUAGUUGGUGAGGUAAUGGCUCACCAAGGCGAUGAUACGUAGCCGAACUGAGAGGUUGAUCGGCCACAUUGGGACUGAGACACGGCCCAAACUCCUACGGGAGGCAGCAGUAGGGAAUCUUCCACAAUGGACGCAAGUCUGAUGGAGCAACGCCGCGUGAGUGAAGAAGGCUUUCGGGUCGUAAAACUCUGUUGUUGGAGAAGAAUGGUCGGCAGAGUAACUGUUGUCGGCGUGACGGUAUCCAACCAGAAAGCCACGGCUAACUACGUGCCAGCAGCCGCGGUAAUACGUAGGUGGCAAGCGUUAUCCGGAUUUAUUGGGCGUAAAGCGAGCGCAGGCGGUUUUUUAAGUCUGAUGUGAAAGCCCUCGGCUUAACCGAGGAAGCGCAUCGGAAACUGGGAAACUUGAGAGCAGAAGAGGACAGUGGAACUCCAUGUGUAGCGGUGAAAUGCGUAGAUAUAUGGAAGAACACCAGUGGCGAAGGCGGCUGUCUGGUCUGUAACUGACGCUGAGGCUCGAAAGCAUGGGUAGCGAACAGGAUUAGAUACCCUGGUAGUCCAUGCCGUAAACGAUGAAUGCUAGGUGUUGGAGGGUUUCCGCCCUUCAGUGCCGCAGCUAACGCAUUAAGCAUUCCGCCUGGGGAGUACGACCGCAAGGUUGAAACUCAAAGGAAUUGACGGGGGCCCGCACAAGCGGUGGAGCAUGUGGUUUAAUUCGAAGCAACGCGAAGAACCUUACCAGGUCUUGACAUCUUUUGAUCACCUGAGAGAUCAGGUUUCCCCUUCGGGGGCAAAAUGACAGGUGGUGCAUGGUUGUCGUCAGCUCGUGUCGUGAGAUGUUGGGUUAAGUCCCGCAACGAGCGCAACCCUUAUGACUAGUUGCCAGCAUUUAGUUGGGCACUCUAGUAAGACUGCCGGUGACAAACCGGAGGAAGGUGGGGAUGACGUCAAAUCAUCAUGCCCCUUAUGACCUGGGCUACACACGUGCUACAAUGGAUGGUACAACGAGUUGCGAGACCGCGAGGUCAAGCUAAUCUCUUAAAGCCAUUCUCAGUUCGGACUGUAGGCUGCAACUCGCCUACACGAAGUCGGAAUCGCUAGUAAUCGCGGAUCAGCACGCCGCGGUGAAUACGUUCCCGGGCCUUGUACACACCGCCCGUCACACCAUGAGAGUUUGUAACACCCGAAGCCGGUGGCGUAACCCUUUUAGGGAGCGAGCCGUCUAAGGUGGGACAAAUGAUUAGGGUGAAGUCGU